ensembl:snoRNA U8 U8 small nucleolar RNA
AUUUCAGAUAAAAUAAUCUUUACCUGUUCCUCUAUUCAGAGGGCAGAUAGAACAUGAUGAUUUGAGUGCACAUGAUUCAUGAUUAGUGUCUCUGUGUGAUUAGGGAUUGCAACACUAUAAUCGCUCCUAUCUGAU